CUCUACUCUUCGUAUUUGUGAUGUAAACUAUAUAUUUUCAUUUAGGAGCUCUGAAUUUGCGAGCUCAGCUCUUAGCUGAGGAUUUGGGAGAUCAAGUCUCGUACCUUUUUAAUGACAAUUAUCAUGUCAAUUUUUGGCUUUUAGUCCUGCUUUCUGCGCUGUGACUUCGUAUAUUUAUUUCAGAUAAACUGAUUUAGGCUUUGAUUAUAGCCUUUUUUAUCCUUCUAAGGAUAUCUUCAUUUAUGCGUCCUGCUAUGGAGGGAGCUCGGCCGUUCUUUUUGGCCUUCGUAUCUGGAUCCUUUGAGGAUAUAAGUCN
rnacentral:lncRNA from 1 species